rnacentral:misc_RNA from 1 species
UUAGUAAAGAGAAAACUGUUAGGUAUAAAUUGAACACUGAUACUUUGUUUGGAUAUGAAAAAAUUGACUUUCCUCUUUGUGCAGCUCCGGCGUCUACUACUUUGAUGGGAAGAGUUCAUCAUCAUCGUCACCAACUAAUAACAGAGGAUUUGGAAAAGUAAUUCUAGAGAUCCAAACUAUCACCUUCGCUUCUCACUAUCGCUCAACUCACCAUCGUCGUUGAAACUCACCAUCGUCGCCAACGCUAAUUGGAGGUCGAGAUCUUGCCGUCUUUUUCAUCACGAGACAUGAUUCAUGAGUCACCGCCGUUGCUUCUUACCGUUGUCAAAAUCGUUGUUGUUGCAGGAGCUCAAUCACCAUUGUAGGUUCAGUGGUAAGGGUAAACUCGUAAAAUACUUGCAUAGAAAAAUACUUAAAUCUAUAAGGCAUAUGAGAUAUGUCUGUUUUCAUAAAGAUAUAAACUUAAUUGUGUCAAUCCCAUAAUUAAUCCCUAAAUUGUGAGUUGCAGUUUUAGAGUUUAUGAGUCUUUUUUAAAAAAAUUAUUAUGUUCCAUUUUAAUAUAUUUUAGUACCAGGUUUACUUCCCCUUUUUUUUGGGUUUUAACUUCUUUCUUGUUUGAGUUUUGCUUUAGAGAUUUUAGUUUUUGUAAAGCAAAAAUUUGCUCCUGAUGAAUCAUGCCUAAUGCUACCUGUUCUUAUUGUCGAUUUGGUAGUCUUUCAUUGCAGCAAAUAUUCUUUCAAUCACUUCUUUCAAAAAAUCUACAUAUACAUUUUUGCAGCCAUUUUAACAAAUAAAUCCUGAAUUUGGACUUAUUUACAACUCAAUGCCAU